CAUACUGUAAACGAUGAGUGUUAGAUAUUGAAAAAAAUUUUUAAUAUUACAGCUAACGCGUUAAACACCCCGCCUGAGAAGUACGAUCGCAAGAUUGAAACUUAAAGGAGAUGACGGGGGCUCGCUACAAGCGGUGGAGUAUGUGAUUUAAUGCGAUGACACACGCAAAACCUUACCAGUGCUUGACAUGUAAUGAAUAAAAUAUAUAGAGAUAUAUAUUUGUUUUUACACAGGGUCGCAUGGCUGUCGUAAGUUCGUGUCAUGAGAUGUCUGGGUGACACCGUUUGAACGAACAGAACCCUUUUCUUUAUUCGCAAAGAUUUAAUA
rnacentral:rRNA from 1 species